rnacentral:lncRNA from 1 species
GGAAAGCUGGUGACAGUGAGCCUGCACAUUCAAAAUCCCCUCCAGUUUUUAGGAGUUUGUUCUCUGGGCUCUUGGUCAAUCCCCUCCUACUUCUUACUUGUCGUAACAGCUAACAGUGUACAUCUGCCUGUUGGUGCUCCCGGUUCCUCCCAGGUACUCCUAAUCUUUUGGCAUCCAGGGCAAUGCCUUUCAAAGGAGGGCAUCAAGUGAACCUCAAGUUUAUUUAAAGCGUAAGCUUCCUUGCAGGUGUGUAUAAUUAUACCCCAACUCCAAAAUGCGGUUCCGAUGAGAGGGCGUGCCGGGUGCACGCGGGCAGCAGCUUGUCCUGGGAGGUGUACUAGCUUCCUGUGGCUGCAAGUUACUACAAACUGGGUGGCUGGAAACAACAGGAAUUUCUUCUCUGACGGUUCUGGAGGCCAGAAGUCUGAAAUCAAGGCGUUGUCAAGGGGGCCGCCAUUCGAUCCACUACGUGAGGCAGUAAGAAGCAUAUUCCCGAAGGAAUUGUUGAAAUAUUGACGGACUUCAGAGCUCCGUGAGCUGGGCGGACUCACAUGGCUGGUGUCCAUGCUAUCCAACUGUCAAUGGCUCAAAUCUAAAGCCAAUUUGUUUCGAGUACAACUUGUGGAGUCUAUGUUCCAGAAAGUCUGAAGAUAUUUAGAAUCUAGGAAUCAAAAAUUCACAUUAAAAGAUAUGUAUUCUCUCCCAAGUGUUCAUUUUUAACUGUCUCAGCUAUGGCCUCUCACGGAUGGAAUCUUCUUUUGUCUUUGCAUCUUCCAUACCUACCUCAUGGCUUGGUAAAGAGUAGACAUUACUUCAUUUCUUUGCACUCUGAUGAAGUUCAAAAUCAUGCAAAGGCAUCAGUGACUAUGUCUCCCAAAGAGCUUCGACAUCAGACCCCUGGGUCUUCCCAAUCUCUGCCCUGCUCAACCGCCUCAAUAGCUCCCAUGUGCUCUUGGCCUUGUCUCGUUCCAUGAAUGAUCGCGUCCAUCACAGAGGAUGCACCACUGGUUUCUCCAGCCAGGCCGCUUACCCCCUGGGAGAAGCUUGUGCAGCCGACAGCUGGGAAAUAGCGCCUAACUUGAGGUCUGUGGUCUCUGGGCUGCUUUGGAUGGAAUAAAGAGGAGUUUUAUAAAAGGCGUGUAGCUCAAAUGUGGAAAUGUGGCUGUGAAGGCAUGCUCCAGUUCAGGGUUUCCAAAACUUCCCUGAUUAUGAACAUUCCCCAGGAUGCUAGCUGAAUGCAGAGAUUAACAGUUCCUGGCAGUUGGUCUGGAUUGGGGCCUGAGAACAGGGAACAUUUUGAUGUUUGUUUUUAAGGAGUUUCUCUGUGAGAUCCAUCCUCUGGGAUCUUUGGAAGAUACCACUCUGCUUCACGAGAAAGCUCUGUCCCCUUCAUGCUCAGUCGCUUUCCUGUCUGUAUGAGAGACACCCCAGGACUAUGGGUCCUCAUCAAGGGAAGAGUGUCCUGGAGGACUCUGGCCAGUGCCUUGGGAACCCCACUGUUCUGCAAGUGUGGGGACCUCAGUGACUCAUAUCCCUCAUGGCCACAUCAGCCCUCACUCCUUUUCAGAUAGGUGUCUUUGAAGAGUACAAUAAAAGGCCAAAAGUCUAGUGUGUGUGGGGUCCCCAGUGUGGUAGCUUGGCCACGGUUGUGUCCAACAUCAGACUCUCUGGAAAGCAUGGAUGGAAAGAAGCCCUGGUGCUGGGGGACUGCAAAGGCUGCCCGCCCCUCACAACCUGAGCCCUGCGUCCCUCCCAGGUCCUGUUUGCUCCAGCAUCGCAGAGAAGACAGGCGAGCCCCUUGGGCAGAAUUAAGAUCAUAAAGUUGAACCAUUGCAGAACUGACCUCUGAUAAAACAUAGCCCCCCUCCCUGAAGAAUCCCAGCAGAUUGACACAUCCAUACAGAUCCGUCAGCUCUGGCUGCCGUAACAAAAUGCCAUGGGCUGGGUGGCUUCAGCAAUAGACAUUUAUUUCCCACAGUUCUGGAAACUGGGAAGCCCAAGAUCAAGGUGCGGGCAGAGCUGGUGUUUGGUGAGGGCUCUCUGGCUGCCUUCUUGCUGCGUCUUCGCAUGGUGGAGAGAGAGAGACAGAGAGAGAGCUCUGGUCUCUUCCUCUUCUUAUAAGGACAUUAAUGCCAUCAUGGGGGCUCCACCCUUAGGACCUCAUUUAACUCUAAUUAUCUCCCAACAGCCCCACUUCCAAGUACCAUCACUGCGGGGAUUAGGGUUUCCACAAAUUAAUCUGAGGGGCACACAAUUCUGUCCAUAACAUCAUAUUACUCAUACCAUCCACAGCUGCAUGAAGGCAGUCCCUCUCGGCGUGUCCACGAAGCACAUCAGAGGACUCGGACUGAGUUUAGAGCCGUGGCCCACAGUAUUUGUUGCACAUGUUUAUCUGAUGAGAUGCCCUUCCUUCUGGUCUGCAGAGGUCUUUCCAAGUUGCUCGUCUGAUGAGCCUGUGGAAUUGCAAUGGCUAAACAUGUCACCAUGCCAUCUCACCAGAAGGCUCUAGAGAAUCCACUAGGAGUUAAUUCAGAGUGGUAGUUUGGUGUGAGUUUCUGGCCCCGUGGAAAGAGGCCAUGCCCUUGCAACAGUAGACUGUCCAGUAGAAGGUUGUGGACUUGAGUGGAGCUGCAUUGAACAGGGGCAAAGACAAGGAACCUGCCUGAAACAGCACAGCAUCCAGCACCCAGGUUGGAGCACUGGGUUGGGAAUAAGACAGCACCUGUGCAGGGACAGCCAGUGGCCCUGGGGCUGCCCACCGCCAUUGGCGGAGACUUCCCAAACCCACAGUGAGGCUGCAAAUGUCUGCAUGCGAGUUGCUGCCCAUCGAAUGAUGAGCUGAAGGUGAAAAAUGAGGAGACUCUGGUUUUUGUCUUCUUGGAUCCUUCUAAAAAGUUGAUUGAUUGGUUAUUGGUUGAUUUCAGAAAGCUCCCGGGACUUUUGGCAAGAUAAGAAGUGAUGAGGACCCUUGCCUUAGUGGUGUCAGUUAGACACUGAACGGAGCAAAGUGCACCCAGAGACACCUUCCUUUUGUCGUGCAUCAUAGGAAGAUGUUUAGAUGUUGUGUUAUGCACUACAGUUGAGCUGGAAGGAAGCUUCGAGCACAUUGGUCCAACUUCAGUGACUUCCCAUGGCUUGUUGGAUGAAGACUGAGCUUGACCCUCAAGGUCUUGAGAUGCCCAGCCCUUGCCCACUCUCCGCCCCAUUCCUUGUUCUCUGUGCUCAUCACAGUGUGAUUUCUUGAAGACCCUUCUCCUCCUGCCCCAGGGCUUCUGCAUGUGCUAUUGCCCCUUCCCAGAGAGCUCUCCUUCCUUCUUUUUUUGUCUUUAUAAAUCUUCCUCUCUCUCCAGCUCUCCAGCAACCUUGACCUCUCACAGAAGCCCUCCUGACAGGUCAAGCCUCACGUGCCCUCACGUCAUGUACCUGGCUCUCAGCACUCGUCUCAGCUGAAAUUUCCUGUUAUUCGUGGGACCAUUCUGCUUCUCUCUGUCUCUCCUGGCAGACUGGGAAGAGCCACAUGAAUGAGAACAGGGUCUGCUUUAUUCCCUUGUCCCCUUAGCUAUGCGACUGCACCUAACACUCAACAGGUAGUGGUGACAUGAACAAAUAAACUCCCUCCGGUCCCAGGUGAGGACACUGAGAGUCACAGCGAUAAAAGAUGAAGUGACCUGUCUCUGGCUCACAGCUAACCCUCACACCAACCUGGGUGUAGACACGAUCAUUACCUUCCUCCAUUUACAGCUGAGGCUCAGAAAAUAUGACGGUCACUGCCAGUGCCCCACCCAGAUCCCCCUGGCCCUCCCGGAGCCACCUGCAAUAGGGGAUGGCUCCCUGCCUGUCCCUCACCUCAGGUGUCCUCUGGCCACAUGAGCCGGCUGGAUCUACUCGCAGGCAGGACAGAAAGCUGGGAGUUAAGGCUCAGGGAGCAGCCCUCGAUCACUGAGGGGUGGAGGUUGGAGAAUCGAGGGCUCCCUUGCCCUUCAGGAGGCCAAUCUGAGGCGAGUUUUCCACCCGGCCUUUCCCAGGGCCCCUUGUGUGACUGAACCCCACAGAGGCAACCUGCUCAUACCACAUUCCCUUUUAGCUUUCCUUCCUGACAAAUGUCCCCACCCCCUCACAGUACUUCCUGGGAUCGCUUCCAAAAUCAACUGUUUGCACCUACAAUCCUGGAAACCCAAGCGAACACAGAGAGAGAAGAGCAGGAACUUGCCCAAGGUCAUUCAACAAGCUAGCGUUGGGAUCCAAGCCCCGGGUUCACCAUCACGCCACACAGCUUGCAGAAAGGAAUGCAGCCCUGCCAGCACCUUGAUUCCAGCCCAGUGAGACCCGUGAAGAACUUCUAACCUACAGAACUGUAAGAGAAAAUAUUCAUGUUGUUCAAGCCACUACAGUUGUGGUCAUUGGUCACCCCAGCAACCGGAAACAAAUACUACCCUUAAAAAAGUUAGCACUCCAUCCCCAGCUGUGAUUUAUGAACUAGGCUCGGAUUUAUUUUUAUUCUUAUGACUUAUAUGUCAAUUAAACCGCAGAAGAUCUUGAAGACGUUGUGGUCCUGGGUGGACUGAUUUUGUUUUGAAAACAUACACCUUACACUGUUAAGCAUUUACAAGGCAGGCUCUCAGAAUGCUUUGCCGACACCGGAAGAGGAGAGCUGUGCGCGAUUACCCGAGGGCUGAAUUUGCCUGGCUCCAGUUUGAUGAGUUGUUUCACUUCCGCCUGUUCUGAGCACUGAAACCACAGCAAUAUCGCCACCCUGAUACCAUCAAUUUUCAAGUGCGCGGUGAAAAUGCAUGUAAAUAAUAAACCGCCCGUGCUUCUGAACAGCUCCCACCUGUGCCUUUGGAAAACAUUCAGAGUGCAGUAAACAACUAUGAGAAGGGGAAAGAAACAGCAAAUGACGACUCAUCAAGGAACAGAUUUUUAUUAAGACUUUAGAAGAAUUUUUCCUAGAGGACAGUGGCUAAUGUGGUUGCCUAAUUGUUGGGGGACCCAAAAAGUAGUAACCUUGAGAAAUUCAAUCCAAGUGGAGAACACCUUACCUACAUGGUGAAACUUAAGGAAGCUAAAAGUUAGAGCAAAGAGGGUGAGCCCAAGAACGUCUUCUCGGGGACACACAUGGGGGGCAUAUUCAGGGCCACUGGUUUUAUGAUGCUGAGAAAAUCGAGAAUGAAUUGACUGCCCCUCCCUGAGCUCUUUCCAUGAGGAGAGGAAUUCAGAGAUGCUUAGAGGAAAUUGUCCCAUGGGGAAUGGGUGGCAGAGAGUCUAAAGAAAGGAAUGGAAGAUUCUCACUGGGAUGUGGUCCUUAGAAACUGAUUCCAUUCCAUUAAAUAUCGUUUUAAUGACCAACCAUUGUGUUCUAGAGAUUAUACUUGGUAUUUGAGAGAGAAGAAGGAACCAGGCCUUGCCUGCUUCCCAAAGCCCCAAAGCCUUAAUGGCCUGGAGGAGGCUACAGAAUGAAAACCAAAUGCAUUACGAGACAAUGCCAUACGCCCCGUCUCUGAAAGUGGACAGAGAUGUGGAAGGAGCUCAGAGGAUGGCACGGUUAGAUCUGGGUGCCUUGGAAAGCUCUCUGCAGCAGGUGCUGUUGGAGUUGCUGGCCAGAGGAAACCACCAAUCCAUGUGGUAUUUGGCUGGCAUCCUCAUCUCUUGUCAUGCAUCUGUUCUUUCUAUGGCAUUAUUCAUGCGGCCACUUCCUUAAAACCUGUUUUUCACUUCUCCCUGGGCAAGAUGUCAUAUUCUCUGGGUUAUUGGCUAGAGUGUAGGGUUAUCAGGUGACAUGGCAAUAAAGGCUUUGUGCCCCACCUUGGGCAUCCAUGGGGACCCCUGUACGGUGUUUUCUGGUUGGAAGGUUAAGUAGACCACCUCAGGCAGUGGUCUCAAGGAGAUAGGAGAAGGACCAGUUGGAAAGGGCAAUUAUUCAGAGAUAUAAACUAGAGCAGGGGGAGUAGUGGAAGCCUGGAAGGCUGUGUAGGGGUGAGGGGCCGACGGAAGCAGGAGAAGCAUGUUCCAUGAUCUGUGUGAAGGACACAGUCAUAAGAAAGGAUGUGCCACUCAGGAGCUGUGGACGAGGAUCUUGCUAGGAGGCCACACCCAUCUGGCUAAGGUUUGUGCCUACAGUGGCCCUAAGGAUAUCACAGUCUGUCCUCAUCAGCUCGGGCUGCCAUGACAAAAUGCCACAGAUGGCAGGGCUUAAACAACAGAAAUUUCUCUCUCACAGUUCUGGAGGCUGGAAGUCUGAGAUCAGGGUGUUGGCAUGGUCAGGUUUUGGGGAGAGCCUGCCUCCUGGCUUGUAGAUAGCUUCUCACUGUGUCCUCACAUGGUGGAGAGAGAGGGAGACCGCAAGCUCUCUGGUGUCUCUUCCUAUCAGGCCACUAAUCCCAUCAUGACCUUAUUUAAACCCAAUCAUCUCCCAAAGGCCCCCUCUCCAAAGACCGCCACAUGUGGGGUUAGAGCUUUCAUAUAUGGAUUUGGGGGGACACAAUUCUGUCUGUAGCACAGUCCAAAGUGGUCGAGGUGAACGACUGAGUGCACAAAUGUUCUCAUCGUCAACCUUGGAGAGAAGGUGGGAUCAUAGCUUGCUGGCCAAUGGCACGCCCAUGAAGAUGACUGGUGGCAGUUUGGGGACUGUCGGCAGCAGGUCUUCCAUGCUCCAGGAUGCUACCUGGAGACGAGACUGGUACCCAAGG